rfam:Schistosoma curassoni strain Dakar, Senegal genome assembly, scaffold: SCTD_scaffold0001547
AUUCAGCUGACGAGCUUCAAACAGGACGAAAUCCGCGUCCUGAAU